ACGAACCGUGCGAACGUUAUUCGGAAUCACUGGGCUUAAAGGGCGCGUAGGCGGGCCGCCCGGUCCGGGGUGAAAGCCUCCAGCUCAACUGGAGAAGUGCCUUGGAUACCGGCGGCCUCGAGGGAGGCAGGGGCGUGCGGAACUUCGGGUGGAGCGGUGAAAUGCGUAGAUAUCCGAAGGAACACCGGUGGCGAAAGCGGCGCGCUGGACCUCUUCUGACGCUGAGGCGCGAAAGCCAGGGGAGCAAACGGGA
rnacentral:rRNA from 1 species